AUAAGGUUAAGUUAAUAAGGGCGCACGGUGGAUGCCUUGGCACUAGGAGCCGAAGAAGGACGUGACAAACGACGAUAUGCCUUGGGUAGCUGUAAGUAAGCGAUGAUCCAGGGAUUUCCGAAUGGGGGAACCCAACAGGUACUACCUGUUACCCAUAUCUGUUAAGGAUAUGAGGAGGAAGACGCAGUGAACUGAAACAUCUAAGUAGCUGCAGGAAGAGAAAGCAAAAGCGAUUGCCUUAGUAGCGGCGAGCGAAACGGCAGGAGGGCAAACCGAAGAGUUUACUCUUCGGGGUUGUAGGACUGCAAUGUGGACUCAAAGAUUAUAGAAGAAUGAUAUGGGAAGAUCAGCCAAAGAGAGUAAUAGCCUCGUAUUUAAAAUAGUCUUUGUAC
rnacentral:rRNA from 1 species